GUGGGGAAUCUUGCGCAAUGGGCGAAAGCCUGACGCAGCCAUGCCGCGUGCAUGAUGAAGGUCUUAGGAUUGUAAAAUUCUUUCACCGGGGACGAUAAUGACGGUACCCGGAGAAGAAGCUCCGGCUAACUUCGUGCCAGCAGCCGCGGUAAUACGAAGGGGGCUAGCGUUGCUCGGAAUUACUGGGCGUAAAGGGCGCGUAGGCGGACAGCUUAGUCAGAGGUGAAAGCCCAGGGCUCAACCUUGGAAUUGACUUUGAUACUGGCUGUCUUGAGUUUGGGAGAGGUGAGUGGAACUCCGAGUGUAGAGGUGACAUUCGUAGAUAUUCGGAAGAACACCAGUAGCGAAGGCGACUCACUGGCCCAAUACUAACGCUGAGGCGCGAAAGCGUGGGGAGCAAACAGGAUUAGAUACCCCAGUAGUCC
rnacentral:rRNA from 1 species